UGCUCACUUCAGCAGCACUCAUACUAAACUGGACUGAUAUGGAGAUUAGCACUGACCCUGUGCAUGGAUGGUACGAAAAUCUGUAACGCGUUCCAUAUUUUU